AGUUGGCCGGGCAACCGCGGUCCUGAAGUCUGCUGCACACCGUUAAAGGUUUGCGGCGGAGCAGGGCGGAGGAAAGUCCGGGCUCCACAGGGCAGGGUGCCAGAUAACGUCUGGGCGGCGUGAGCCGACGGAAAGUGCCACAGAAAACAUACCGCCCUGGGUUGUCUAACGGCGAUCCGGGGUAAGGGUGAAAAGGUGCGGUAAGAGCGCACCGCGUUCCCGGUAACGGGAGCGGCAGGGUAAACCCCACCCGGAGCAAGACCAAAUAGGGAUCCUAAGGCGCGGCCCGCGUUGGGUCCGGGUAGGUCGCUUGAGGCGUACGGUGACGUACGCCCCAGAUGAAUGGUUGUCCUAGACAGAACCCGGCUUAUAGGCCGACUCCA
rnacentral:RNase_P_RNA from 1 species